rnacentral:piRNA from 1 species
UCCCUGUGAAGUAUUGUUUGCCCGUAGA